GAUGAAGAACGCAGCGAAAUGCGAUAAGUAGUGUGAAUUGCAGAAUUCCGUGAAUCAUCGAAUCUUUGAACGCACAUUGCGCCUUCUGGUAUUCCGGAAGGCAUGCCUGUUCGAGAGUCAUUAACAACCGUUUCGAUCCCUUUCUUUCAGAAAUUACAAAGAGGAAAAGGGUUUGGUUAUGGUGGAGGAGGGAAAGGGAGCGUUUAGCCUGUAAAAAAAGAGGCUGUGUUCCGCCUCCCCCCCAAAAUUGUACAGGCGGUCGUGUGCGCCCACGCAUCGAGGUGUUGUAAAAGCUGCCACUGCACUUUUCACCUGUGCAGUGCGAGAUUGGCCAGCCGGUUUAAAAACCCCUCCAAACAAUCAAAGGUUGACCUCGGAUCAGGUAGGGAUACCCGCUGAACUUAAGCAUAUCAAUAAGCGGAGGA
rnacentral:misc_RNA from 1 species